rnacentral:rRNA from 1 species
GACGAACGCUGGCGGCGUGCUUAACACAUGCAAGUCGAGCGGUAAGGCCCUUUCGGGGGUACACGAGCGGCGAACGGGUGAGUAACACGUGGGUGACCUGCCCUCAGCUCUGGGAUAAGCCUGGGAAACCGGGUCUAAUACCGGAUAUGACUCCAUGACGCAUGUUGUGGGGUGAAAGCCUUGUGCGGCUGAGGAUGGGCCCGCGGCCUAUCAGCUUGUUGGUGGGGGUNAUGGGCCUACCAAGGCGACGACGGGUAGCCGGCCUGAGAGGGCGACCGGCCACACUGGGACUGAGACACGGCCCAGACUCCUACGGGAGGCAGCAGUGGGGAAUCUUGCGCAAUGGGCGAAAGCCUGACGCAGCGACGCCGCGUGAGGGAUGACGG